UACCUGGUUGAUCCUGCCAGUAGUCAUAUGCUUGUCUUUAAGACUAAGCCAUGCAAGUCUAAGUAUAAGCAAUCUAUACGGCGAAACUGCAGAUGGCUCAUUAAAACAGUUAUCGUUUAUUUGAUGGUCAGUACCACUUGGAUACCUGUGGUAAUUCCAGAGCUAAUACAUGCACGAAGACCCGACGCAAGGAGGGUUGUAUUUAUUAGAUAAAACACCAAUGCCAUUCGUGGCUUUGGCGAGUCAUAGUAACUCAACGAAUCGCAUGGCCUCGUGCCGGCGAUGAAUCAUUCAAAUUUCUGCCCUAUCAGCUUUUGAUGGUAGGAUAUGGGCCUACCAUGGCGUUAACGGGUGACGGAGAAUUAGGGUUCGAUUCCGGAGAGGGAGCCUGAGAAACGGCUACCACAUCCAAGGAAGGCAGCAGGCGCGCAAAUUACCCAAUCCUGACACAGGGAGGUAGUGACAAGAAAUAACAAUAGACGGGUUUAUUGAUCUGUCUAAUUGGAAUGAGAACAAGGUAAAAAUAUUAACGAGGAUCCAUUGGAGGGCAAGUCUGGUGCCAGCAGCCGCGGUAAUUCCAGCUCCAAUAGCGUAUACUAAAGUUGUUGCAGUUAAAAAGCUCGUAGUUGGAUUUCUGUGGGGACGGAGCGGCCGGCCGCACAUCGCGGUUCGAGCUAGCGCUUUCCCUACAUCCUGCCGCGAACCGUGCUACCAUUAGUUUGGUGGCGCUGGGGAUCGGCUCGAUUACUUUGAGAAAAAUAGAGUGUUCAAAGCAGGCCACACGCCUUGAAUAAGUUAGCAUGGAAUAAUAACUAAGGACUUCGGUUCUAUUUUGUUGGUGUUCGGGACUGAAGUAAUGAUUGAUAGGGACAGUUGGGGCGGUCUGUAUUCCAAAGCGAGAGGUGAAAUUCUUAGACCUUCGGAAGACAAACAGCUGCGAAAGCGUUCCGCAAGGAUGUUCCCUUUGAUCAAGAACGAAAGUUGGGGGAUCGAAGACGAUCAGAUACCGUCGUAGUCUCAACUAUAAACUAUACCAGCUAGGGAUCGGCCAACGUUAUUUUAUACCGACUUGGUCGGCACCUUAUGAGAAAUCAAAGCAUCUGGGUUCCGGGGGGAGUAUGGUCGCAAGGCUGAAACUUAAAGGAAUUGACGGAAGGGCACCACCAGCCGUGGAGCCUGUGGCUUAAUUUUGACUCAACACGGGAAAACUUACCAGGUCCAGACAUAGUAAGGAUUGACAGAUUGAUAGCUCUUUCUUGAUUCUGUGGGUGGUGGUGCAUGGCCGUUCUUAGUUGGUGGAGUGAUUUGUCUGGUUAAUUCCGUUAACGAACGAGACCCCAGCCUGCUAAAUAGCGCGCGUGAGCUUUGCUCGCGGCGAGCUUCUUAGAGGGACUAUGAUGCGCGAUAGCACAUGGAAGUUUGGGGCAAUAACAGGUCUGUGAUGCCCUUAGAUGUUCUGGGCCGCACACGGGCUACACUGGCGCCUGCAACGAGCAUAUCAGCUGGCCCGAGAGGGUCUUGGCUAAUCUUUUGAACCGGCGCCGUGCUUGGGAUUGACCUUUGCAAUUGUUGGUCAUGCAACGAGGAAUGCCUUGUAAACGCGAGUCAUCAGCUCGCAUUGAAUACGUCCCUGCCCUUUGUACACACCGCCCGUCGCUCCUACCGAUGAAUGUUCCGAUGAAAUUUUCGGAGAGUGCCUGUGAACUUGGCUCUGCCUUGCGAACGGGAAGCUCAAAGUCACUUAAAUCUGAACAUUUCGAGGAAGGAGAAGUCGUAACAAGGUUUCCGUAGGUGAACCUGCAGAAGGAUC
rnacentral:rRNA from 1 species